rnacentral:rRNA from 1 species
GACGAACGCUGGCGGCGUGCCUAAUACAUGCAAGUAGAACGAGUUGCGAACGGGUGAGUAACGCGUGGUAACCUGCCUCAUAGCGGGGGAUAACUAUUGGAAACGAUAGCUAAUACCGCAUACCAUCCGAUGUGACCAGCGGGGAUUAGCUUGUUGGUGGGGUAACGGCUCACCAAGGCGACGAUCCCUAGCUGGUCUGAGAGGAUGACCAGCCACACUGGAACUGGGCAACGGUCCAGACUCCUACGGGAGGCAUCAGUGGGGAAUAUGGCACAAUGGGCGCAAGCCUGAUGCAGCCAUGCCGCGUGUAUGAAGAAGGCCUUCGGGUUGUAAAGUACUUUCAGCGGGGAGGCGUUACCCGCAGAAGAAGCACCGGCUAACUCCGUGCCAGCAGCCGCGGUAAUUC